CACGUAGGGGGCAAGCGUUGUCCGGAAUCAUUGGGCGUAAAGAGCUCGUAGGCGGCUCGGUAAGUCGGGUGUGAAACCCCCAGGCUCAACCUGGGGACGCCACCCGAUACUGCUGUGGCUAGAGUCCAGUAGGGGAGUGUGGAAUUCCCGGUGUAGCGGUGAAAUGCGCAGAUAUCGGGAGGAACACCGAUGGCGAAGGCAGCUCGCUGGGACGGUACUGACGCUGAGGCGCGAAAGCGUGGGGAGCAAACAGG
rnacentral:rRNA from 1 species